AGCAGCCGCGGUAAUUCCAGCUCCAAUAGCGUAUAUUAAAGUUGUUGCAGUUAAAAAGCUCGUAGUUGAAUUUCGGAAUCUGUCCGUUGGUCGGGCUUAACUGUCCGUACUGAUGUGAUGGGUUCUUACCUUCUGAAUAACCAGCAUGCCAUUAAUUUAGUGUGUUGGGGAAGCAGGACUAUUACCUUGAAAAAUUAGAGUGCUCAAAGCAGGCUAGUGCCUGAAUACAUUAGCAUGGAAUAAUAAAAUAGGACGGCAUGGUUCUAUUUUGUUGGUUUCUAGGAUCACCGUAAUGAUUAAUAGGGAUAGUUGGGGGCAUUAGUAUUCAAUUGUCAGAGGUGAAAUUCUUGGAUUUAUUGAAGACUAACUUCUGCGAAAGCAUUUGCCAAGGAUGUUUUCAUUAGUCUAAGAACGAAAGUUAGGGGAUCGAAGACGAUCAGAUACCGUCGUAGUCUUAACCAUAAACUAUGCCGACUAGGGAUCGGACGAUGUUAAUUUUAUAAUGACUUCG
rnacentral:rRNA from 1 species